rnacentral:lncRNA from 1 species
UUCCACUAUCCUUAAUUUUUAUUAUCUGAUUUUACUUAAUAUAUUAAUUUUCAUGCUACCCUGUUCAGUGUUCAUGUUGUCAGCAAAGGACUCGUCGUCAUCUGUAUGAAGUUGGUGUAUUACCGCAUCUUUUUGGGGUUUGUUAGGCUAGUAACAAAUUUGCUGCAAUGAAUGCUAUCAAGCACUCAUUUGCAGACAGUAGCGCAUGGAUUGUUAAGAAGUAGAUUAUCGGACUGCAGUGCUAGAUUACUUUCCAACAAUCAAGAAAGUGUCCUGCCACAAAGUCCCUAACAUUUUACUUUCAUGUAAGUGUCCUAAUCAAUCAAGUAAACCUAAUCCUUAACGCAUAUGAAAUGGAGAAAUAGACCAAUAAUCAAGGUUUUAAGUUCAUAAGAUGCCCAACAAUUAAUAUUAAUAAGGGCUUUCCUAGGAAAUUCUAAGGGAGUGAGGGUAGAGUAUAAUAGAGUUCUAACUUACCUCUUAUAAAUUGCAUGAUGUGGCUAAAUCUUGAGGGACAUCAAGGAAUACUAUACCGUCUUGUACAAAAUGACACAAGGUAUGUGCUCUUUAUUGAAUAACUCAAGUGGUUUCCUUAUUGAUAACGCAAUCCUGUGCGUUUGCAACUAAAUGAAAUGCCAAAAAUGUGUUUGAUUCCAUAAUUAUGCAAAUAUUUAGAACUUAAUAUGCCAAAACUAGUAUGGGUGUGUGUUUAGUAUGAUAUUGAUUGGG